UGGGGAAUUUUGGACAAUGGGCGCAAGCCUGAUCCAGCCAUGCCGCGUGCGGGAAGAAGGCCUUCGGGUUGUGAACCGCUUUUGUCAGGGAAGAAAUCUUCUGAGUUAAUACCUCGGGAGGAUGACGGUACCUGAAGAAUAAGCACCGGCUAACUACGUGCCAGCAGCCGCGGUAAUACGUAGGGUGCAAGCGUUAAUCGGAAUUACUGGGCGUAAAGCGUGCGCAGGCGGUUUUGUAAGACAGAGGUGAAAUCCCCGGGCUCAACCUGGGAACUGCCUUUGUGACUGCAAGGCUUGAGUGCGGCAGAGGGGGAUGGAAUUCCGCGUGUAGCAGUGAAAUUGCGUAGAUAUGCGGAGGAACACCGAUGGCGAAGGCAAUCCCCUGGGCCUGCACUGACGCUCAUGCACGAAAGCGUGGGGAGCAAACAGGAUUAGGUACCCUGGUAGUCCACGCCCUAAACGAUGUCAACUGGUUGUUGGGAAGGUUCCUUCUCAGUAACGUAGCUAACGCGUGAAGUUUGGACCGCCUGGGGAGUACGGCCGCAAGGUUGAAACUC
rnacentral:rRNA from 1 species